rnacentral:rRNA from 1 species
AGGACAGUGGCGGACGGGUGAGUAAUGCAUGAGCAACCUGCCUUCAGGAUGGGGACAACAGACGGAAACGACUGCUAAUACCGAAUAAGUUCCAAGAGCCGCAUGGCCCAUGGAAGAAAAAGGUGGCCUCUACCUGUAAGCUAUCGCCUGAAGAGGGGUUUGCGUCUGAUUAGCUGGUUGGAGGGGUAACGGCCCACCAAGGCGACGAUCAGUAGCCGGUCUGAGAGGAUGAACGGCCACACUGGAACUGAGACACGGUCCAGACUCC